ACAAGUAGCACGAGUGCAGUGCCGAGUGAUUCAGGCUCUUCUAGUGCAGUUGGAGACAAGGGAAAGAAGAAGAAGAAGAGAUGCAUUAGUUGUGUUUUAAAAUCUUGAUGACAUACCUCCUCUAGCGAAGACAUGUGUCAAGACACCUCCAAAGAUGAAGAGGAAACGUGGAGAUGAGAUCCUUUGGAGAGGAGCAGUGAGGCAAAGACGAUCAAUUUUGAUGAUCCAUCAAUAGUUUAGGAUGUUAUAGAUCAUUUUGAGAUACUCACACGUCUAGUUGGCAUGUAUAUUUUGUAUA